GACGAACGCUGGCGGCGUGCUUAACACAUGCAAGUCGAACGGAAAGGCCUGUCCUUCCUUGUGUUGGACGGGUACUCGAGUGGCGAACGGGUGAGUAACACGUGAGUGAUCUGCCCCCAACUUGGGUAUAAGCCUGGGAAACUGGGUCUAAUUCCCGAUAGGACUGCAGGGUGGUGCCUGUGGUGGAAAACGAUUUUCUAGUGGUUGGGGAUGAGCUCGCGGCCUAUCAGCUUGUUGGUGGGGUAAUGGCCUACCAAGGCGGCGACGGGUAGCCGGCCUGAGAGGGUGGACGGGCACAUUGGGACUGAGAUACGGCCCAGACUCCUACGGGAGGCAGCAGUGGGGAAUAUUGCACAAUGGGCGGAAGCCUGAUGCAGCGACGCCGCGUGGGGGAUGACGGCCUUCGGGUUGUAAACUCCUUUCGACCGCGAGGAAGCCGCCUGGUUGGAAGGGUGGUGACGGUAGUGGUAGAAGAAGCACCGGCUAACUACGUG
rnacentral:rRNA from 1 species